UAACCUGGUUGAUCCUGCCAGUAGUCAUAUGCUCAUCUUGAAGAUUAAGCCAUGCAUGUCUAAGUAUAAAUGACUUUAUACAGUGAAACUGCGAAUGGCUCAUUAAAUCAGUUAUAGUUUAUUUGAUAAUACCUUACUACAUGGAUAACUGUGGUAAUUCUAGAGCUAAUACAUGCGACAAGUCCCGACUUUGCGGAAGGGAUGCAUUUAUUAGAUACAAAACCAAUGCGUCGGGUAAAACCGGCGGACCUUGGUGAUUCAUGAUAACUUGGCGAAUCGCAUGCUCUCGCAGCGGCGAUGAAUCAUUCAAAUUUCUGCCCUAUCAAGUUUUGACGUUAGGGUAGUGGCCUAACGUGCUUGUAACGGGUGACGGAGAAUUAGGGUUCGGUUCCGGAGAGGGCGCCUGAGAAAUGGCGACCACUUCCAAGGAAGGCAGCAGGCGCGCAAAUUACCCAAUGGGCAAAGCCCGAGGUAGUGAAGAUACAUAACAAUAGUGGUCCCAUUCGGGACUACUAAUUGGAAUGAGUACAAUUUAAAUCCAUUAACGAGGAACAAUUGGAGGGCAAGUCUGGUGCCAGCAGCCGCGGUAAUUCCAGCUCCAAUAGCGUAUAUUAAAGUUGUUGCAGUUAAAAAGCUCGUAGUCGGAUGUCGGGGCGUCGGCGAGCCCGGUCUGCCGGAAUGGUGUGUACUGGUUCGCCCGUCUCUUCUUCCGGUGUGUCGGCGGCUUCCCUUCACUGGGCGGCCGUUUCCGGCUCCGGAUCGUUUACUUUGAGAAAAUUAGAGUGUUUAAAGCAGACAUAACGUCGUCUUGAAUACUACAGCAUGGGAUAAUGGAAUAGGCUCUUGCGCCUAUUUUGUUGGUUUCUGGGAGCGAGAGAAUGAUCAAUGGGAAUCGUCGGGGGUAUUCAUAUUUAAUUGUCAGAGGUGAAAUUCUUGGAUUUAUGAAAGAUGAACAUCUGCGAAAGCUUCUAUCAAGGAGGUUUUCAUCGAUCAAGAACGAAAGUUAGGGGAUCGAAGACGAUCAGAUACCGUCGUAGUCUUAACCAUAAACUAUGCCGACCAGGGAUCGGGAGACGUUCCAUUAUACGACUCGCCCAGCACCUUGAGAGAAAUCAAAAGUCUUUGGGUUCCGGGGGGAGUAUGGUCGCAAGUCUGAAACUUAAAGGAAUUGACGGAAGGGCACCACCAGGAGUGGAGCCUGCGGCUUAAUUUGACUCAACACGGGAAAUCUUACCAGGUCCAGACAUAGUGAGGAUUGACAGAUUGAGAGCUCUUUCUUGAUUCUAUGGGUGGUGGUGCAUGGCCGUUCUUAGUCGGUGGAGUGAUUUGUCUGGUUGAUUCCGAUAACGGACGAGACCUCAGCCUGCUAACUAGUCACGCGAACCGUCUGCUCGGGUGAAAGCAGGGCACGGCUCGGUGCCGACUCCGGUCGGUGCUCCUGCCCUGCCGGAUCCUUGACGUGUUCGUGGCAGCACUUCUUAGAGGGACUAUUGGUAUCGAAUCAAUGGAAGCUUGAGGCAAUAACAGGUCUGUGAUGCCCUUAGAUGUUCUGGGCCGCACGCGCGCUACACUGGCCGGUGCAACGAGCGCUUACCUUGGCCGAAAGGUCUGGGCAAUCUUGUGAAACCCGGCCGUGAUGGGGAUAGAUCAUUGCAAUUAUUGAUCUUCAACGAGGAAUUCCUAGUAAGCGCGAGUCAUCAGCUCGCGUUGAUUACGUCCCUGCCCUUUGUACACACCGCCCGUCGCUCCUACCGAUUGAAUGGUCCGGUGAAAUCUUCGGACGGGGGCGUGCAAGCGCCGGGGCAACUCGGCGCUGACGUCUCCGAAAGAUGAUUAACCUUUACAUUUAGAGGAAGGAG
rnacentral:rRNA from 1 species